UACGUAGGGUGCAAGCGUUGUCCGGAAUUAUUGGGCGUAAAGAGCUCGUAGGCGGCUUAGCAAGUCGGGUGUGAAAACUCCAGGCUCAACCUGGAGACGCCACUCGAGACUGCUAUGGCUAGAGUCCGGUAGGGGACCACGGAAUUCCUGGUGUAGCGGUGAAAUGCGCAGAUAUCAGGAGGAACACCGGUGGCGAAGGCGGUGGUCUGGGCCGGCACUGACGCUGAGGAGCGAAAGCGUGGGUAGCGAACAGG
rnacentral:rRNA from 1 species